GGGGUUGUAGCUCAGUGGUAGAGCGCUUGCCUACCAUGCAUAAGGCACUGGGUUCCAUCCACAGCACCA
rfam:Ictidomys tridecemlineatus contig088318, whole genome shotgun sequence.